rnacentral:lncRNA from 1 species
UUAAGUUCAUUUACAAGUUUGUUUAAGAAAAAUGAAUUUGAAAAUGCAAUGGCAUAAGGCCAAACUUUCUAAUUUGAAAAGAUUCUAAGUUUAUAAAUCACAAGCAAAGAAGAUUUUAAAAGGAGGGAGAGAUUUGAAAUUAAAUAAGUGGGGAGGAGAUGAAGAGACUAAUCCUAAGCACAAAUUUAAAAGUUAAAAGUUG